rnacentral:rRNA from 1 species
GAUGAACGCUGGCGGCGUGCCUAAUACAUGCAAGUCGAGCGAACGGACGAGAAGCUUGCUUCUCUGAUGUUAGCGGCGGACGGGUGAGUAACACGUGGAUAACCUACCUAUAAGACUGGGAUAACUUCGGGAAACCGGAGCUAAUACCGGAUGAUAUUUUGAACCGCAUGGUUCAAAAGUGAAAGACGGUCUUUCUGUCACUUCUAGAUGGAUCCGCGCUGCAUUAGCUAGUUGGUAAGGUAACGGCUUACCAAGGCAACGAUGCAUAGCCGACCUGAGAGAGUGAUCGGCCACACUGGAGGUGAGACACGGUCCAGACUCCUGAGGGAGGCAGCAGUAGGGAAUCUGCCGCAAAGGGCGAAAGCCUGACGGAACAACGCCGCGUGAGAGAUGAAGGUCUUCGGAUCGUAAAACUCUGUUAUUAGGGAAGAACAUAUGUGUAAGUAACUGUGCACAUCUUGACGGUACCUAAUCAGAAAGCCACGGCUAACUACGUG